UUGCUCUACUGAGAUGAGGAUGAGCCUGCCUCAAGACAUCGUCAGGGCUCCGACAGCCUCAUCAAACAGAAACCCGAGAAACCGGAAGCAGGUAGGAAGACCGACAGAUGAACGGAUGACCUGCUUGCUGGGCUUCCCAUUACUGAUUCUUGAGACAUGAGGACCACUGACUGGUGAGGGAAUUGCCCUAUGAUGGAUGAGCCUGCUUCAAGCUGCCAUUAGCUGGGAGGACCGACGGUUGACUGACUCUGCCUGCUUGGUUGGCCAUUACCGAUUUUUUAGAAGAUGAGGACCGCCAAGCUUAGAUGAGACUGGAAAAUUACGAAAGCUGCUCUAUCUGGACAAGGAUGCCCUCAUCAGACACUUUCCAAUUUGCGGAAUAUUGGAUCAAAAAUCAGACUGCAUAUUAUUAGGCAAUAUUAUAAAACAUAAAAACGACGAAAAUACGAAUUCUUACGCCAAAGUUACCGCUAAACAUAUGUAAUUGGAAGAAAUAAUAGCUCAAAUCACUGUUACUUGUUAACUUUACUGAGAUACCUAUACCUGAAAUAUUUGACAACGAAUAUGACAAAAAUUGAAGAAAAAAAGUCAAAUGUGUGUAAAAUACAUUGCAGUGAAAAUCAAAUCAUGAGUGGAUUUUCUUCUCACAGAAAUGAUUCUCUGCUUCCAACAAGUGGCUGAGAAAAUGAUGAAAUUUACGCCGAAAAUAACUGAAAUUGGUGUUGUUUUUACCUUUACUGCGAUACCUACCCAAAAUAUUUGACUAAACGCGUGUGACGAAACGUGGAAAGAAAAAUCAAAUCUUCCAAAUUAAAUUACAACGAAAAUCACAUAGUACGUGGAGUUUCUUCUCGCAGCACUGCACUCUGUUUCUACAGGUAGCUACAGGAAAAUUACGAAAAUUAUACCGAAAAUCAACGAGGCAUGUAAGUGAAGUGACGAAACAUAGUUUACACGGCAAAAAAUCACAGCGUUAGUGAGAGAAAUAAUACUUGAUAUCAAUGUUAUUUUUCUUACCUACAAAGUAAAAAAAAAUCAAUUGCGGAAGAACGAAAUUAAAGAAACGAAAAUUACGGUAAAAAGAUUAACAAAGGCAGCAAAAGAAAUAAAUAUUUAAAAAUCGGUAAUUUUCUAAACUUCUAGGCCCUAUGCCAUGCAAAAAUUUGCUAAGGAAAAAUGACCGAAAUAAUGUUAACAAAAAAAUUCAAAUUAUAUUCGGCAGCCACUUCCGGUACGGUACUACACUGCUUAAAAAUGUCGGAAAGCGAAUUUUGGUAAACGGUGGGGAAAAUGACGGCAGAAAAAAAGGUAAAAAAAUGACGGAAAUUUAGAAAAAACUCCAUUAUAUCGAUGUAAAGAAAAUGACUGAAUUUCAAUUAAAGCAGCAUGUUAAAGGCAUUCCCCCAAAUUCUAGGCCUACACCACACCUUUUAAGUAUUAUUCGUCAGCGAAAAUAACUGCGAUUUGUGACAUUGUCAAGAAGUUUGCCUUCAAAAAGGCCAGAAACAGCCAGGUUAUGCAUGUGAAAGGGUACAACUUAAGUGUAAUCAACAAAGCGAUAGGGAAAAUGGCUGUAUAAGACAUGCGACAUAUAUACUAUCGCAUGCGACAUUUCUUCGUGUUUUUGUAAAGGUUUAAACUUAAUCUACAUUAUUUAUGUGAGUCCGAUUUGGAAAGAUCGGCAGGGAUACACGUUUUCUUCAAGUUUAUAUUCCUCCUUUGAGUUACUCAUUUGGUUGUCUUACUUUGACCUUUGAUAACGUAUAAGGCCGACAGUGCUGUUUUAUUGAAGGGGAGAACACGAAAACCAUAACGGAAAAAAGCGUUGCAGUAGUUAAAGAGAUCGGUAUAAUAUAGACUUAUACGAUCAAAUCUUUGUGGGCUUCGAGUAUACCGUACUUAACGUAAAUUUCUAAAGAAAGCAUUUCAAGAUAUGCGACAGGUUUAGAGUGUCAUAGAAAACUACUAUUUCCUUGUUGAUUUUAGCCUACGUGUAACCCUCCUUCCGUAUAGUACUAUGUUCAAUGUAAGUCCGAUUUGGAAGGGAUCGGCAAGGAUUAAGAUGGCAUUUUGUCAUCUUAAUGUCACGUGAAUUUCUUUUAAUGGUUGUUUAUAGUGUGCGAGUUAUAUGCAGUUUCCAAAGCAACCUGCCGUUAUCAGCGUCGGCACAUUAUGACAAAGUAAUCGUGUCUGUUUUAAAAAGGAAAUAAUGGAAACAUGGGUAGAAUCGUUUGGUUCCCAUUGGGUCCUACCCAUGACCUGGUUAUAGGUAGGCUUAGACAUAAUUAUUGGCUACAUUUGCAAUGUUUCACUUCAGUAACAAAUGGGCUAGGCCCAGUGUUUUCGUACCCCUGUCCACUAAGGAAAGAGUUGCAGCUUUCAUCAAAAAAACUGAUGAUCUAAAAGUUGAGACAGACUGGAUGAGCUAGGCUGCUUUGUCUGGAUGAAAAUGAACCCUCCAAGGCUCCAACAGCCUCAUCACACAGAAACUCGAGGAACCGGAAGCAGGAAGGAGGACCGACAGAUGAACGGAUGGCCUGCUUGCUGGGCUUCCCAUUACUGAUUCUUGAAAGAAAUGAGGACCACUGACUGAUGAGGGAAUUGUCUUACUGAUAUGAGAUGAGCCUGCCUCAAGCCAUCGUAAGCUGGGAGGACCGAUGAUGGACUGACACCGCCUGCUGGCCUGGCCAUUACUGAUUCUUGAGGACAUGAGGACCACCAAGCUUGGACGAGACUGGACAAUGACGAAGCUACUGGACAAGGAUGCCCUCAUCGGAAACUUGAGUUAAAAAAAACUAGCCUGCACAAUAUGAAAUGAUAAAUCAGACUGCAUAAUGCAACGUCAUUAAUGUUAUACACUAAGGAAACAACACUAAAAUAAAAUGAAAAGUAAUUUUGAUUUCAUUAAAUUAUUUAUGCCUCUAAAAUAAUCUUAAACCGGAUACUGCAACAGACAGUUAACAAUGGACAAUAAUGGAAACUUGCUGAAAAAUUAUUGCAAGGGUAAUAUUUGUCACUGGCUUUUUAGCAGUGACAUGUCUGGGAGAAGGGAUGUUCCUUUGAUCUGCCCUGGGUCAUCCAAAUAAGUUAAUAAUUUCAUACUCCUUACCUUUAAUGCAUUCAAUUGGAUCUUCUCGGUAAAUUAUAAACGAAGUCUCGCCUAAGGCUUUCUGUUUGCUUUUUGUUCAGUUGACAAUGGAGAAUUUUGCUCUAUAAAUUUAAUUUGAUAUUGAGAGUGCACUUUAAGAAAACCAAUUUAAGUCAGAAGAGUUUUGAAAGCUUUCAAAAAGGAUUAAUUUAUUGUUUAAAAACUGAAGAAAUGUAACAAACUUUAUUUAAAUUUAACGUCUUUAACAAGACGUCGGUUUAAGUAAAACGUGACUUUCUUUCCAUUGUAUAUUUAUUAGAAAACACAAGAACGUUAAGUUUUUAGGAAAAUUUAAAGAAUAAAUUG